UCCGUCGCUGGUUCCAGUGGCCUUGUCAGCCAUCAGACCCGAUGCUUGUUCAUGAUCCCGUCGACUAUCGUCGAAGUAGGCGCUACCGUAGCCAUCGCAGUGGGUUGGCCGGAGGAGGUUCAUCGCCGGGGCCAUAGUCUCAUAUUGAUGAUAGUGGUCAACCAACCUUGGAAUCCUUUGGUGAUGAAAGUGUUAAGAUGGAAGUCAUAGAAGAAGCUAGGGUUAGCAUACACCAAAAGCGUAUGACAAAUGAUAAUUAAGCCAUGGAGGAAGGUGAAGCAUAGAAAUAUAGAAAGAAUACCUACCUGAUCCUCUUCUGUCUCUCUACAAAUUCCUUGAAGUUUGUCACUUAGCUAAGGAAAUGAAUUCUGUAGAGAGAGAGAGAGAAUUCACUAACAAUCUACUAGAGGAUCACAGAGGGGGGAGAGCCUUGAGAUCUCACUUUCCAUUGAUUCCUUGUGCCUGAGAAACGAAGAGAGAGAGAGAGAGAGAGAGAUGACUUGUGGCUGAUGUGUUAGAAUUCUCACCUCUUUCAACUGAGGCCACAGAGAAGAGGCAGGGUAGUAAUAUCUGACCAUCCAUUGAUUCCUUGUGCUGCACAUAGA
rnacentral:lncRNA from 1 species